rnacentral:lncRNA from 1 species
GUUCUCAGAAAGCUCUCGUUCUCCCGUUUUCUUUCGACUUAGUGCCUUUUGCACGGCAUCUCUCGAACAGAGGAACUCGAAAACUGGGCAUGAAACUGCAGCCAGCCUUUUUGAAAAACAACUUACUCUACCCAACAAACGGCACCAGCUUGAGAAGGCAGAUGUUCUGCAGUCCAAGUGAGAGGAGGGGCGGAAAAAACCCUAUGAUGCUAGCUGGUAAGUAACCUAAGGAGUGCAACUCAGGUUGUUUAGAGAAAGGGAAAAGUUUGUGCCGCUAUGGUACUGGAUUCUGCACUCAUUUUUUCUUUCUUUUUUGAUAGCAGGGGGUUGGCACUGAGUUCUGUAAUCAUGAAUGAUGGUGGUGGUUUAUCUCCAUCACAGAGUUUGUUGUGCAGAAGCUCUGAAGUGGUGAUUGCAGGGCUGAGCAUCUGGGCUCGUACUAUGUGGUCUCUAGCAAGUCAAAAUCUUCUUUUGAAUGCAGCUUCAGUUUUGCCGCCCGUCAACUUGGAACUGUAUGUCACAAGGGUGUUGCUAAUUACUGUAUACUUCAAGGACUGCUACUGAUUGUAGCAUCGACAUUUGCUCAAGCUGCAGUCCUGUGCAUGCUUACCUGCUGGGAGUAAUCUUCAUGGAACGCAGUGGGGCACUACUGAGUUAAUCCCACAUAGAGUUAUACCAUCAGUGUAGCUUUUGAGAUCAAGACCACUUGUGGCAUGCAAAAACUGAAAUUUUUGCAUGUAGUUCAAAACGAUUCAAAGCAACAAGGCAGGUUUAAUUUCCAUUUUUUUUUAUUUUAAAAAAGUGUGUUUGUGUGUUUUACUUUGGGUGCUUAUUAUUUUGAAAGAUAGGAUCAAGGUCAUAUUGAGCAUCUAUUCCACAAAAAUGAACUUGUGGAAAUACAGUGAGCAAUAUUAUGUGAAUUAUGCACCCAUUAUAUAAAAAUGAACUUGUGGAAAUCCAGUGACAAUCCAGUGGGAAGGAGAGAUUUUCAAGUCACGUUCCUUUGAUAUUUUUGUUAGGAUUUACCAUGUGAAUUUGGCUUCAGUUUCUUCUGCACCAGGCUAUUAGAAGUGCGCUGGUGUUAACGUGCUCUCGCUGCAGCUCACUGUUAUCAGAUUUCUUGCCGUGCGAGAGUCCAAGGUAAUGCAGCAAACAUCUGGCUUCUUAAACAAAAUGUACAGUGCCAAACUGAUUCAUAAUGAAAAUCCAUGGGGUAGGUGGAAGGCUGCAGAAGGAAGUAAAGAUGUUUUCUAGGCUGUUUGUUAGCAAAGAACCAGGCUUGGGCAAAUAGCUUGGGAUUCAUGAUAAGGACAACUUUGUAGAUCAGGUCAACUGUCCUGCAUGCAAAAUGCUAAACUAUUUGGCAUCAGGAAUGCAAGCCGAGGAAAAUUGGAUUUGGAACAGGUUGCUGUUUUGAUUACUCCUGCCCUGAAGGGAGAUGAGAGGCAGGAAUAUGGAACACUGCUGAGUUUGGAAAAUGGGAAGGACUUGUUUUGAGGGAUAUAUAUUUAAUGUCCUUUCAAUAUGAUCCAGUUUUGAACCCCAGUUUUUGUUCCUUCUCACAUCUACCUUUCUAUGAUUCCUCUCUUCCUCCCUUUCCCACCAAAACAACCAUUUUUAAAAAUCUUAUCUUCUUUAUAGUUUCCUUCACAGUUGUGAACCCUUUCCCCCAACCAAUUCCAGGACCCUUAGGAAACUACAGUUCCCAAGAUUCUUUGGGGGGGGAGUCAUGUGAUUUAAAUGUAUGAUAUACAUGCAACCCAUAUCUCAACUUGCCUCAUUAUAGCAAUAGUCCUGCAAUAUUUAGUUCCAGCUGCAAGCAUUUAUUCGGGCAACGCCCCCCCCCCAAUCUCCCUGACACCUUAUUUACUCUUGGCUUUUUGGUUAACAAGACCAGGCAUUUUGUUUUAGAAGUUGUGUAAAAUAAUUUCCCGCAGCAUGGGCACAAAGAGAUUUCCAGUUAGCUACUUGUCAGCCAGGGACGUGGGUGGCACUGUGGGUUAAACCACUGAGCCUAGGGCUUGCUGAUCGGAAGGUCGGUGGUUCAAAUCCCCACGACGGGGUGAGCUCCCGUUGCUCGGUCCCUGCUCCUGCCAAUCUAGCAGUUUGAAAGCACGUCAACGUGCAAGUAGAUAAAUAGGUACCACUCUGGCGGGAAGGUAAACGGCGUUUCCGUGCGCUGCUCUGGUUCGCCAGAAGUGGCUUAGUCAUGCUGGCCACAUGACCCGGAAGCUGCAUGCCGGCUCCCUCAGCCUAUAAAGCGAGAUGUGCGCCGCAGCCUCAGAGUCGGCCACGACUGGACCUAAUGGUCAGGGGUUCCUUUACCUUUACUUGUCAGCCAGUGAUCCUUUAAUCGCAUUGUUGAAUGGGUAUGAAUAAUCUGCAGCAAAGAAAUCUGCAGCAGCUCUGGGAAAAGGGCUCACUUGUCCCCCAGUUCCCCAAACUGGAAUAGCAGCAGUUGUGGCGUCUUUCUCCUUUCCCUCUAGAGUGUGCCUUUGGGGUUCUGUGCCUGUGGGAGUGUGUAGGGAAUUGACUUUGAUAAUGCCCACAUUCUGUGGAGUCGGAACUAUGGUUAGCAAGCCGAACUUCUCACAAAGUAACUAUCCUGGGGCCCCAAUAAGGAAAUGUAUUGCAGCACGAGCUUUCAUGGAAAAGAGUCGAUUCACCAGACAGAUGAAGUGGACAGUGGAAGUUUUGGUUGUUAAAGUGAACGUGGGCUGAAGAAGACAGUUAUGCAAGCAACGUUAAACAGUAAAGGAGCAUAGCCUGAAAGCAGAGCAAUCCUCUGUGAAUCAGUAAAGCUGAAGGGAGCAAGAGACUCAAUUGCAUGGCACCAACAGGUCCACAGAUGUUGAUAAUUCACAUGUACCUAACCAAUGAAGCCAUCUACUGAUCUGCAAGACAGAGCUGUUCCACCAGGCCUUUGGCCAAGGCACAGUCUGACCCCCUCCUUCUGUAAUCCUCAUAGAACUCUAGCCCAAUGGUUGCCAUUAAUUUGAUUCUAAAAUCAAUUCAGAAUCAAAUUAAUGGCAACCAUUGGGCUAGAGUUCUAUGAGGAUGUAUUUCAAUUAAUUGUCUGUGAUUUUAUGUAAACUGUGCUAUUUUUACUGUUGUUAGCCGUUCUGAGCCCGGCUUUGGCUGGGGAGGGUGGGAUAUAAAUAAAUUAUUAUUAUUAUUAUUAUUAUUAUUAUUAUUAUCUGGGAGGUGCACCCCAUGAUCCUUUGCGGUCCCACAUUGUGAUGAUGGGACUAUUCUGGGGGGUGGGGUGGGGUGCCUUUUCCAGUCUUGGAGUGUGUUCCUGUUCAGGGUGGGAAGCUGAGCUCCUCAAGUUUAGAAGACUUAAAACCUUGCAGCCAUACCUGACUAUGUCUACUAUAACCGAAGUCUCAUUACAGGUCCUACGCGGGUGGCACUGUUGUCUAAACCACUGAGCUUCUUGGGCUUGCUGAUCAGAGGGUUGGUGGUUCAAAUCCCCGCAACAAGGUGAGCUCCCGUUGCUCUGUGCCAGCUCCUGCCAACCUAGCAGUUUGAAAGCACACCAGUGCAAGUAGAUAAAUAGGUACCGCUCCGGCGGGAAGGUAAAUGGCGUAUCCAUCCGCUCUGGUUUCCAUCAUGGUGUCCCGUUGCGCCAGAAACAGUUUAGUCAUGCUGGCCACAUGACCUGGAAAGCUGUCUGUGGGCAAACAUUGGCUCCCUCGGUCUGAAAGCGAGAUGAACUCCACAAACCCCAUAGUUGCCUUUGACUGGACUUAACCGACCAGGGUUUUUUUACCUUUUUACCUUUACAGGUCCUGCUGUUGAAAAAGGUAAAGGUAAAGGGACCCCUGACCAUUAGGUCCAGUCGUGGCCGACACUGGGGUUGUGGCGCUCAUCUCGCUUUAUUGGCCGAGGGAGCUGGUGUUCAGCUUCCGGGUCAUGUGGCCAGCAUAAUAAUAAUAAUAAUAAUAAUUUAUUAUUUAUACCCUGCCCAUCUGGCUGGGUUUCCCCAGCCACUCUGGGUGGCUUCCAACUGAAUAUUAAAAACAGUACAGCAUCAGACAUUAAAAACUUCCCUAAAGAGGGCUGCCUUCAGUUGUCUUUUAAAAGUAAAAUAGUUGUUUAUUGCCUUGACAUCUGCCUGGUUCCCUGUAAUCUUACUUCUCGCAAUGAGGGAACCGCCAGAAGGGUUCAUGAUUAAGCCGCUUCUGGCGAACCAGAGCAGCGCAUGGAAAGGCCAUUUACCUUCCCGCCAGAGUGGUAUCUAUUUAUCUACUUGCAUUUGAUGUGCUUUUGAAAUGCUAGGUUGGCAGGAGCUGGGUCCAAGCAAUGGGAGCUCACCCCAUCGCAGGGAUUCGAACCGCCGACCUUCUGAUCGGCAAGUCCUAGGCUCUGUGGUUUAACCCACAGCGCCACCCAUGUCCCCCUGCUGUUGAAAAAGCAGCACCUUAAUGAGAGCAGAAGUGACCCUGCCUGAGGAGCUGUGGUACCUCUGGCCUUCCAAAUGUUGUUGGAUUCCAACUCCCAUCAGCCCCAGCCAGUGUGGCCAAUGGUCAGGUAUGAUGUGAGUUGUAGACCAUCAACUUCUGGAGGGCCACACGUUACGGCAUCCCUGAUUUAAAGAGACGAGUGUUGAAACCUGGAACAUGAGGGAUGGAUCAAGGGUGGAAUAUGCUAGCUCAGUCCUGGUUUCCAGCAUAAUAAACAACUGUUGAAGUUGCAGCAUCUUGACAAGAGUAGCAGAAUUGACCUUGUCUAGCUUCUACCCAAGCUCGGUUAUUAAGAAAACAAUAAUCUCCUUAAUCAACUAUGGUUUCUUAAGCGAGGAAUAUUGCAUCCAAACUAGCCAAUUUCCCUUUGGAAGAUACCUUCCCCAUCACCCCACUUGCUCCUUAUUUUGCACCGAGCCAAACUGAAAGCAUGUUGAAGGAAGAUGACUCUUCAGAGUGACUGUGCCAACAUUAUUGUGCUCAGUCUUCCUGGGACAGAUAUCUGGAGCUCACGGGGCCUUCUUUUUUUAAAACAGUAUAUGAACUGGAAAAAGCAUUUUAUUUUAGUUGAGGUUUUGAAGUUCUAAUCCCACCCCACCCCCCUCCGCAACAUCACGAGAAACAAAUUGUCAUUGACUGACAGAAACAGCUUACAGAAAUUUCUGUAGGUGGCUGGAAGCCAAGGAAUUGGAGAAUUCGGAGUCUAGAUGGAAAGAUAAUGGCUUACAGGUCUGUUUUCUGGCUUUUAUCACUUGCGCAUGGCAGGAUUGUCAUUGCUGAGAGGACUUAAAGAUGAAAUGAUUUACCAUCUCGGCUGAAUUUAUCUCUCGAGAAUAAAUACAGUUUCCCCAGGAAGGUUGACACCGCAAAGUAUAAUUAUUAGGAUAAUGUACACAGCUACAGGAAGACACAGUCACACGUUUCAGGUCUUGCCAAAGGCGAUCAGAAUGCGGCACCAUUCUCCUUUGUAGCUGAAAGUUGAAGUGAUCCUGCUAAGUCAGGCACCAGUUGUCUGAGAAAAUCUGAUGCGUUAACUCUCUGUAUGCUGUAGAGUACUGUGUUUGCUGAGGAAUGAAUGGAUCCCAUCUUGCUGGAAAUUCAGUUGCAUUCCACCUACAUUUACGAGACAGGAUGAGAUUCAGAGAAAGAGCUGCGCACAGAACUGGGUGAGGAGGAGGAGGAGGAUAUGAAGAAUUGAAAGAGCUGCGUUAUCCAGUUGUGUGGUGUAGUGGUUAUAGUGUUGGAAUAAGAUCUCAUUUUUCUUCUGAUGCUUCCGUAUCUGUGGAGGAGUUCUUGCAGGUGGUAGACCAGUGUACAUCACUGGUACACCAAUCAUUGGUACUUUUGGUUAGUACAUUUAAUUAGUGAUGAACCUACUACCCCAAGCUUUUAAAAAAAGAAAAAAGAGAGGCAGGAAGGUAGCUAAUUUUCCUGAGCCCACUUCCCAAAUUUGUGCCUCCAGUAUAAUCCUUGGGGGCAUGACAAGAUUGGAAGCCUCUAUCCAAGGGAGUAAGAGAUGUCCUUGUUUGAUUUUAACCUGGGCUAGAGGAAGAUUCUGGGCCAGAAAUGAUGUAUCCACUUAUUCCAAAAUUCAGUCAAAUGUUACAAGCUGGCUGAGCUGAUAUUAUGACCAUAAUUACAAACUUUGGCGACAUUGCUACCUUUAAAAAUUUGACUAUUAUUGCUACGAGUAAUUUACUCUGCAACGCUACACAGAGCAAUUUUAGCAGUGGGGAUUCAGUUUUAGUUGUUGUUUGUAUUGUUUUUAAGGAAAUAUGCAUUUUGAAACAUGUGGAGGAAUCACGGUGAUGAGAAAUACUGCCACCAGUCCAAAGCACACCUUUCGCAUCAUGGAAAUGGAGCUGUUGGGUAGUCGAUAAAUGCCACGCAACUUGGAACAUAGUUAUUUGCUUGUCUAGGUGAAAUGUGGGUGCACAUAACUCUUAAGAAAAGAAGUAAAAGCUUGCCUUCUGUGGAAUGGUAUACCUGCCUUUAUUAUCCUUCAUUGAUCAAAAUAAAUAAAGGCGUUGAAUAAAUUUAAUUUAAAUCCAGGUCAAAACACAUUACAGGCAUCUCCUCAGAUAUGUGGGGGUUACGUUCCCGGGUAUCACAUGUAUACAUGAAAUCACGUAUGGUGGGGGGGCACCAUCUACAAAGUGUGUAAAGGUAAAGGUAAAGGGACCCCUGACCAUUCGGUCCAGUCGUGACCGACUCUGGGGUUGCAGCGCUCAUCUCGCUUUAUUGGCCGAGGGAGCCGGCGUACAGCUUCCGGGUCAUAUGGCCAGCCUAACUAAGGCGAACCAGAGCAAUGCACGGAAAUGCCGUUUACCUUCCCGCCAGAGCGGUACCUAUUUAUCUACUUGCACUCUGACGUGCUUUCGAACUGCUAGGUUGGCAGGAGCAGGGACCGAGCAACGGGAGCUCACCCCAUCACGGGGAUUCGAACCACCGACCUUCUGAUCAGCAAAUCCUAGGCUCUGUGGUUUAACCCACAGCGCCACCCCUCUAAACCUCUGGAAACUCUUGAAAAGCUCUUUAAAAAACCAGCAGCACUUACCAGACUGGGAGUAGUUGCUCUCAGUUUCUUAAGCGCUGGAGGAUGAUAUGGAAACAACAAACUCGAACUGUCCACAGUCCUCAAAGGUCAGUGCAAAGGCUCAUGGGAUAGCUAGCCAUUUUCCCACUCUUUUCCCACCAUGUUCACAGUUUUCCUGCUCUUCAGGUCGUUUUUGCCCCUUUCACACCUGUUUGCCAUUUAAAUGUAUUGAUUGAUUGAUUGAUUGGAUUUCCCAGUGCCGCAUGUAUACCUUGGUUACGUGUGAGUCAAAGGUACCAUAAGUGAGGAGACAUGUGUACAGUGGUACCUUGGUUCUUGAACUCAAUCCGUUCUGGAAUCCAUUCGACUUCCAAAACGUCCAAAAACUAAAACGUGGCUUCUGAUUGGCUGAUUGGCCCCGGAAACAAUGCUGACAGCCAAAAUGGACGUUCGGCUUCUGAAAAAUGUUCGCAAACAGGAACAAUUACUUCUGGGUUUGUGGCAUUCGGGAGUCGAUUUGUUCAUCAACUAAACCAUUCAGGAACCAAGGUACCACUGUACAGUGGAACCCCGGGUUGCAAAUGUGAUCCAUGUGGGAGGCACGUUUGCAACCCACAGCGCUACGUCUGCGCACGUGGGUGACGUGAUUCAACGCUUCUGUGCAUGCGCAAAGCGUGAUUUAGCGUUUCUGCGCAUACGUGCAUACGAGAGCGUCGAAACCUGGAAGUAACCCGUUCUGGUACUUGCAGGUUUUGGCGUGUCCGUAACCUGAAAACGCGUAACCCGAAGCGUCUGUAACCCGAGGUACCACUGUAUAGGAAAACCUAUCUGUGAAUUCAUGGGGGCUUGAAAUGUGUUUUCCUGCCCCCCACUCCAUUUAGUAUAAACAUUAUGAAUCAAGGAGACGUUGAAGGGAGAAAAGCCAUGAGUUUUAACUGGCUUUUCCUUUGUAAAUUGAAAAAUACUCUUGCACUUUCUGUGAGAUCUGGUUUCUUCUUGCGACGGGAAACUUCCCUGUCUGUCACACCCUUACCACAGAUUUAAUGCAUAUGCCCCCCCCCCCAAUCCUGGGAAAUGUGGUUUACCCCUCACAGGGCUACAAUUCCCAGCACCUAAACAUUCCACAGAUCCCAGGAAUCACUAGGUGAAGCCAUGGGUGGUAUAGAUUUUAGUGUCUGAAUAGCAACUUCAUGCUCUUCUCUGUGUUGAUGUUGUGAGAGCACUGUCUAUUCCCCCCCUCCUUCCUGCCUCCCAGCUCUCUGCAGGAGUCCUUAACUGAAGCACUUGUUUCUGCAGUUUAGCCUUGGUUAUAUAACAUGUUCCAAGUGCAACCUGUGAGAUAAUCUGAAUACAGAAAGAACAGAGUCCUUCAUGGGCAGGAGCUGUUUGAUUGGGAAAAUGCAACUCUCAUUUGGUCACUCUGGAAAUCAUGCGGGUGUCUGAGAAGCGGUUCUAAAUUUAGAUGCGCGUGUGUAAUUUUGAGUUAGUUUAAUUUGGCAAAGUGUUGUUUUUAAAUGGGUAAAUUUAUAGCUUGACCCCAAGAUUGGCUAUGUCAUUGCAGAAAUAUUUAGCAUGGACCAUACCAAUGAUUGCACUGGUGAAAUGCCAACAUAGCUUGGUGCUAUGACAACACUGUGAGGAUAUUAACAUGAGUAUUGCAGCUGGAUACACAAAUGCAAGUGUAGUGGUAUUCUGUUAUAAACAAGGGUGGUGGAAUCUGUCAAUUCUGGUUUUGUUUCCUUGCAACUUUGCAUUUUAUUUUAUUUUUAAGUCCCCAUCAAAAUACACCAGCAUGUUAGUGUAAAUUUAUUCUAAUAUGCACAUUUUUGUUAGUGCCUUUGCCCAAUAUACACAUUUUUUGAAAUGCAAUUUCCCCUGGUGCAUUUUGGCACAUUACUUUCACUAAUAUGUGCAUUUUCAGACACAUGUAGCAGCAAAUACAUUCCUAAACACAUUAUCCAAUGGGAAAGUUGCAUUGCAAAAACUGGAGAAGUGAGAGUUUUGAAUGGCUGUGUUCUGCUUCCCAUAUUAUUUCAGAAAGUGUGAAUUGGGUAGGUUUGCAUUAACAUGCAAACUGAAUCUAAUUUCUCCCCCAUCCCUAAUUACGUGGGGCUACCUUUGAAGGUGACUUGGAAACUACAACUAAUGCAGAAUGUGGCGACUAGACUGGUGACUGAGAGUGGCUGCCGAGACCAUAUAACACCGGUCCUGAAAGACCUACAUUGGCUCCCAGUACAUUUCUGGGCACAAUUCAAAGUGUUGGUGCUGACCUUUAAAGCCCUAAACGGCCUCAGCCCAGUAUACCUGAAGGAGCAUCUCCACCCCCAUCGUUCAGCCCGGACACUGAGGUCCAGCUCCAAGGGCCUUCGGGCAGUUGCCUCCCUGAGAGAAGUGAGGUUACAGGGAACCAGGCAGAGGGCCUUCUCUGUGGUGGCCCUCUCCGUGUGGGACGUCCUCCCAUCAGAUGUUAAGGAGAUGAGUAACUAUAUAAUCUUUACAAGAUACCUUCCUGUAUAGGGAAGCAUUGUUGUUGUUGCUAUUACAGUCAUACCUUGGUUCUUGAACACCUUGGUACUUGUACAUUUUGGCUCUUGAAGGCCGAAAACCCGGAAGUAAGUGUUCCAGUUUUUGAACGUUCUUUGGAAGCCUAACAUCCGACGUGGCUUCCACGGCUUCUGAUUGAGUGCAGGAAGCUCCUGCAGCCAAUCGGAAGCUGCGCCUUGAUUUUUGAACAGUUUCGGGAGUCAAAUGAACUCCCGGAACAGAUUAAGUUCGACAACCAAGGUACCGCUGUGUUUAUUAUUAUAUUUAUGCCCUGCCCAUCUGGCUGGGUUAAAGUGUAAUGUUUUAUUAUGUUUUCAUACAUGUUGGAAGCCACCCAGAGUGUCUGGGGCAACCCAAUCAGAUGGGCAAGGUACAAAUAAUAAAAUUAUUAGUAGUAGAAUCAUAGAAUCAUAGAAUCAUAGAAUCAUAGAGUUGGAAGAGACCACAAGGGCCAUCGAGUCCAACCCCCUGCCAAGCAGGAAACACCAUCAGAGCACUCCUGACAUAUGGUUGUCAAGCCUCUGCUUAAAGACCUCCAAAGAAGGAGACUCCACCACACUCCUUGGCAGCAAAUUCCACUGUCAAACAGCUCUUACUGUCAGGAAGUUCUUCCUAAUGUUUAGGUGGAAUCUUCUUUCUUGUAGUUUGGAUCCAUUGCUCCGUGUCCGCUUCUCUGGAGCAGCAGAAAACAACCUUUCUCCCUCCUCUAUGUGACAUCCUUUUAUAUAUUUGAACAUGGCUAUCAUAUCACCCCUUAACCUCCUCUUCUCCAGGCUAAACAUGCCCAGCUCUCUUAGCCGUUCCUCAUAAGGCAUCGUUUCCAGGCCUUUGACCAUUUUGGUUGCCCUCCUCUGGACAUGUUCCAGUAAUAGUAGUAAUAGUAGUAAUAGUAGUAAUAGUAGUAGUAGUAGUAGUAGUAUCCACACUGUAAUAAAAAUCUUGCCUUGACCACAUAACCUUGCCAGAGAACGCUGUUUCCUAGGUACACACACAUGAGCAAUCAGGUGAUGGUGAAAGAAGAAGCCAAUGUCACCUUCUACACACCUCAGAUUCCUCUUCUCGGAAAAGACUUCUGAAAAUGCAGCGGGGUUAGAGUGAGAACAAAAUAGCUCUAUUUCCAACCUACGCUUCUGUACCAUAGACAGUAAUGGGAACAGUUUUAAAAUAAUGCCUUAUAAUCCAUGGGGUAUAAUUAGAGCCCUUGGAAUUAAGAAUGGGGGUAUAUAUAUCCCAUAACUGUCGCGUUGUAUUUUCUGUGCUGAAUCGUCCUUUGCCAGGGCAUACAGUGCAGCCUUGCAGUCUCAGAUGUUAAAGAGGAAGAUUAAUGCAUGUGGUUCCCUAACCACCUUUCACAUCUUUACAGCUAAACAUUGUUUAUAGGGAUCAACUAGUUCUCUGUCUCUUCUGUUUUAUUAUGAGGCUGUGUUCGGAUCUCCUUUAAAAGAGAGGAUGAUGGAUGAUCAACUUUCAACAUGAGUGAAAAAUGGGCUGUCCCAGGAGAGCAGGUUAUAGGGAGAAAAGUUUAAACGAUGAUAAAACUCAGCCUCCGCAAGACAGUAAGAUUCUGUCUGUGGAAUCAGUAUGACUUCUAUUACAUACAGAACUUUCCCCUCCGUUGGCUUGGAUGUUUGCUAUAGGAAGCCUAGGUGAGCUUUCAGAUCUCUUUGUCCAACAGAAACUGGGAGUGAAUUUGUGUUCUGCUUUGGAAUGCAUCACAGCAGAUCGUUGAAUUGUGUGGUCCGCAAUGGGUCUCAGUGCCGUAGCGUGGGUUGCCAGUACCCAGGGCGGGGUAAGUGUUGUGCCCCCUGCUGGUGGACUGGGGGAGUGCACCUGGGGGGCACACGCAGAGCCUGCCUCCAGCAGGCUCCUGGCCGGCUCCCUCUCCCCACCCACUCACUGGACCAACCCACCUGUUGCAGCACCUCAGCUGCCAGAGCUCUCUGCCUGCACAUCCUCAAAAAUGUGCACCUGGGGCCAUGGCCCCCAUAUGCGAUGCCUCUGGUGGGUCUCUACAGUUGAAAGGCACUGCACUUCUGGAAAUAAGUAUGCCAGUUGCGGAAUUGGUAAAGGUAAAGGGACCCCUCACUGUAGGGUCCAGUCGUGGCAGAAUCUGGGGUUGCAGCGCUCAUUUCACUUUAUUGGCCGAGGGAGCCAGCAUUUGUCCGCAGACAGCUUCCGGGUCAUGUGGCCAACAUGACUAAGCUGCUUCUGGUGAACCAGAGCAGUGCACGGAAAUGCCGUUUACCUUCCCGCCGGAGUGGUACCUAUUUAUCUACUUGCACUUUGACGUGCUUUCAAACUGCUAGGUUGGCAGGAGCAGGGACCGAGCAACGGGAGCUCACCCCGUCGCGGGGAUUCGAACCGCCGACCUUCUGAUCGGCAAGUCCUGAGCUCUGUGGUUUAACCCACAGUGCCACCCAUGGAAUUGGUAGCUGAGCCCAAAAUCUGUAGUCAGAAUUCUAACUGAGAAUCAGAUAUUUGAAUUUUAGGAUAUAUGAGUAUAUCCUAAAAUUAUAUAUGGUGUGUGUGUGUGUGUGUGUGUGUGUGUGUGUGUGUGUGUUUGCAUAUCCUCCUCAUAGUUGCACUUGGCUGCAUCAGAUAGCUGAGAUUCUAAGGAGGACCACUCCAUUGGCUCACCUAGGGCCAUGUACCCUUUGGCUGUUCCUGUCCAAACCCCAAAAUGAAGCUGGCCUAGCAGCUUUGUGCUUCCUCCAAGACCCUUUGGGUGUUCCAUUCAAAUGCCUGGAAACCCUAGAGGAUAUUUUCCCAUCAAGAACUCCCUAGUACAGCUGUGGCGGUGUGGGUUGGUGUUUUUCCGUCAACUCAGUUUAGCUGGUCUUUGAGGAUGUGCUUAGUUCUAAUCAACCAAUUGGCCCUGAAAGCAAGCGUUAAAAGGAGUUCCCUGCAAGCCCCACUUUGUCUAUUUGCAAACUACUUUGUCCUGGUUUGUCUGCUUGUGAAAGUUCGUCAGACCACCUUCUAGUUUGCAGAAGAAGAACAUCGAUCUGCAGGAGUGGCUUGAAUCCAAACUGCAGCUGCAGGACAAGACUUGAAACUCGUUACUUGCUGAUCAACUGAUUGGCAGUUGCAACAAAUCCCUUUGAUGUCAACUGACAUCAUAAUAAUCUCACGGGAUUGCCCAGUGUGUGAUCAAACCCAUCUGUCAAAGUUGGCCCCAAAGUUGGUGGCGGCAGCAUUUGGAUCAAGCCUGCCUGCCAGCUCUAGUUCCCUACCAAAGGUAAAGUUCUAGUUCCCUACCAAAGGUAAAGGUACCCCUGACCGUUAGGUCCAGUCGCGGACAACUCUGCGGUUGUGGCGCUCAUCUCUCUCUAUAGGCUGAGGAAGCUGGCGUUUGUCCGCAGUCAGCUUCUGGGUCAUGUGGCCAGCAUGACUAAGCUGCUUCUGGCGAAACCAGAGCAGCGCAUGGAAACACUGUUUACCUUCCCGCUGGAGCGGUACCUAUUUAUCUACUUGCACUUUGAGGUGCUUUCAAACUGCUGGGUGGGCAGGAGCUGGGACUGAACAACAGGAGCUCACCCCGUCACGGGGAUUCGAACUGCUGACCUUCUGAUCAGCAAGUCCUAGGCUCUGUGGUUUAGACCACAGCGCCACCCACGUCCCUGAUGUUGUAUAACAACUGGUGCGUAAUAACAGCAAAUGUUAAUGGUGAACAGCUGUAUUAAUGCUUACCAGAUUUUGACAAGUAUGCUUGAAGUGUUGAGCUGGCAAUGUUUUCAUCCCCCUGUUGACAUGCAUUAGGGAGAGCUCCCUGAAGCAGUGCUCAGAAUGCACCCCUUUCUUUUCUUCCCAAAUCCGCUAAUGUGCAUUAGCAAGUUUAGCAGUGAAUCAAAACUGGAUUAUAAGGCCAACCUGCACAGAAUAAAUGUGUGUGUGCAUUUCAGAACGGAAUCUCAGGCAACGGCCUUGAGCAUCCCGAGGGAUACCUGAGAUGCAUUUAACUUGUAGAAAUUGUUCCACAGAGAUUGAAGAUGAAUGCUGUUUUGCUCACAAAAGCUUCUUUACAACAAUAGCCUUUGAGUGCCUUGCUACGACUUUGGAACGUUGUUUGAUUUUGCCCAUAAUUUAAGAGAGCGAAAAAGUGUAACUCAGGGUGUCAGUCCUACCUGUGUAAAUCUCUACUUACCUGAUCCAUCCCACUGCAGCUCCUGUGCUGUUUUCACCAUCGCAACAGGUGACGGACGGCUCCCCUGGAGUGCAUUUAGGAGAUGUGACUGACUUCUGUCACAAUCCAUUAACUCCUUCUCUCCUCUUCUUCAGGGGCAAAACAAACCCUCCACCCAUUUCUGCUUGCGGCCUGUCGUCUUUUCUUUGGGUGUGUCAAAGUAGCUUCCAUUGGAGGGCCAUGGCCUCAUACCAAAAACAUUUAGAGAUGAACAUCACUGGCAAAAUAGCAAAUGGAACGUGCAGCCUGUGCUGAUCAGGCCUUGCCAUACCACAUCCGUAUAUGAGCAAAAUUGUGGUUAGGGCUGCACGGAGGUGGGAAAUAAUGUUGCCUGCUUCCAGCUUUUGCUUCGCUGUUUGAUUGGGAGUUUUCUCCAUAGGAAUCUCACUCUUGAGGCUGCUUUGAAUGAUAAGAACAUAAAUAGAACCCUGGUGGAUCUAGCCAACGUCCUGUUCUGGCCAAAAAUAUGCCUAUGGGACAAGUUGGACCUGAGCACAACAGCACUCUGCCCACCUGAGAUUCACAGCAAAAUGCCUCUGAAAUUGGAGACAGAACAUGUUAUAUUUCCAUCCUUUGUUCUUGAAGUUGAAAGUAGAGAAGGAGACAAGGAGGAGGACUGGGCAUGUGUGUAUGUUAAUGGCUUGUCCUUCUCUCGAGUAGGACCCUGGCAGACACACAUGCCCGACUGGCAUGUUCUCUCCCUCCUGGUCAUUCGUUCGGGAGCUUCAAAAGCUUUCUUCUGCCCAAACAUCACAGCGACUGAUGCCAACAGACAUCAUCACACUUAGGGAUCCGCAGAGUGUGUGCAGUUGCGUAACAGACCUCAGCAACUCAGCAUUUUGGCUAAUCUACUUUAUUUACAUAUAAACACACAUGGAGCACUGCAACAUGGCUCCAUCUCUCUCUAGCAUCAGACAGCAAAGAGAAAGAACAAAGGACAAUAGUCCCACUUCACGGAACACAGUAACACAAACAUCCUGUCUCUGUCACUUCCUACUUUGUGGAGUCAAAACAUAUACCGUCAUGUGAAAGACAACAAUCCCAUGACUGCAAUCAUGGAGCAGAAAUUCUAGCAGUUCAGGGUCCUUUCCAACUCCACAAUUCUAUGAUUCUACGCAUAAUAUUUUUAUCAUUUAUACCCUGCCCAUCUGACUGGGUUACCCUAGCCUCUCUGGAUGGCUUCCAACAGAAAUAAAAACACAAUAAAACAUUUUUAAAAAUUGCUAUGCAGGGCUGCCUUCAGAUGUCUUCUCAAAGUUUUAUAGUCAAUGCUAUUUUUCUAGAAAAAGAGGUGCUGGAAUUCACCAUGGACGCCUCCCUUGUUCUCUUAGAAUGGCAACGGCACCCACCUGAGAGGUGCCAGAACUGAGUUCCAGCGAGUUCAGGCUGAAAAAAGCCCUGUGUAUAGUUAUUUAUCUCCUUGACAUCUGAUGGGAGGGCACUCCACAGGGUGGGCUCCAUCGAAAAGGCCCUCUGCCUGGUUCCCUGUAACUUCACCUCUUGCAGUGAGGGAACCUCCAGAAAGCCAUCAGAGCUGGACCUCCGUGUCUGGGCUGAAGGACUUUAUUUAGCAAGUCAGUAAUGAGGAGAGGGAGAUGUGUAGAGAUCAAGUUAGGUGAAUGUCAUUUUCUCAGUCUCUCCUAGUACUAGAGCCUGGGGUCAUCCAAUGCAGCUGAAUGUCAGGCAAUUCAGAUCAGACAAAGAGGAAGUACUUCUCCAUGUCAUAUUUAAUGAAAUUGUGGAUUUCAUUACCACAAGAUAUAGCAACAGCCAUCAACUUAGAUGGCUUUAAAAGGGGAUUGGACAAAUCCAGGGAGAAUAAGAUGUUCCACGGUUAUUAGUCAUAAUGACUGUAUGUUACCUCUGAGAUCAGAGGCAAGUAGGACUCUUCUUAGUGGCUCCUAAUGGGAUCAGGGGCUCGGGUUUUGCAAACCAGUUACAGGAUUUGGAAUCUGGCAUUUGGCAGAUGCAAAAAGUCGCAGCCUCAGUUCAGUCCCAAUCGUUGUGCAGUUUGCCAUCUAUAAACAAUCACAACCUGCUUCUCGUUUUUCUGCAAUUUUCACACCAGUGCUAGUCUGUGCACAUUUAAAAUUUGCAUAUAUUGGUAUAAAUUAACGCAUUUGAGCAGCAAAGGCACCUAUUGGUUUAAAAUUGCUUCUCUAGGAGAGAUAAUAACAAUAGUAUUGAAGAAUGAGGCAGAGAGAAUUUCUAAUCCAGGCAGAAUGGAAGCAUUUAUGGUGGUUGCAUAACUAGAGUAAAGGAAAUAGCCAGAAAUGCUGUAAAAGUUUAGGAGGGCAAUCUUGUUUCAUUUCUUAAUUUCUUGCCCAUCCCAAAUUUGCAAUAAAUUUUCUUGCCAAUCCCAAAUUUGCAAUAAUUUUUGAUUUGACCCAUUGUCGUGCUUGUAAAUUGUUUUAAACUAUAUUUUAAUAACGCGUUUUUAAAUUGCUAACUCUCCCAAAGACCUUAUGGGGAAAGUCGGGCAAGAAUGAAUGAAUGAUGUGUUUUGAAUUGCCUCCAGAAUGCCAUUAAAUUACAUAUAAGUCCUCUAGCUUUUCCUUGGAACACUAUAGUUCACUAAGAAAGUUUGUCAAAAGAGGAUCCUUAAAAUAUAUAUAUUCCAAGGAAUAAAACUUUUCGUAUCCUGCUACAAAAAUUAGUGAGAUUAUUAAGACCUUCUACAUAAACUCCUAUUUCUGUCUGGGUAUAAUAUUUAAGAUGGCAAUUCUUGGAUCAGUGGGAACUGGGUGGCCCAAUUCUAUGCAUAGUUACGUGGGACUAAGUCCCUCUGAACACUAUGUGUCUUACUUCUGAGUAAAUAUGCAUAAGAUGGUACUGUAAAUCAAAUCAAAUUCAAGCAGCUCAUGUUAGCCACAAGAGGGCAAUGUUGGCAUACUGGAUAGGGAUCCAUUCUGACCAAGUUUCUAAAUCCUGAGUUCUAAUUCUGUCUGCAAAGCUGUUCUUUUAAAUUGUUCAUGUCUUUUACAUUACUAUCAGCUAGUCAGUGGGAUGUCCAGAGCCAGUGUGGUGUAGUGGUUAAGAGCGGUAGUCUCGUAAUCUGGGGAACCGGGUUCACGUCUCCGCUCCUCCACAUGCAGCUGCUGGGUGACCUUGGGCCAGUCACACUUCUUUGAAGUCUCUCAGCCCCACUCACCUCACAGAGUGUUUGUUGUGGGGGAGGAAGGGAAAGGAGAAUGUUAGCCGCUUUGAGACUCCUGAAGGGGAGUGAAAGGCGGGAUAUCAAAUCUAAACUCUUCUGGUAUAGGAGACAGGAAUACAUUUCCUGAUUUGCAUGGCAGGAGCACUUUGACCUAGGACAUUCCUGCCCCUCCCCCCACCCCAUAUUCAUUAUAUUAUUAUCGUUUGAUUUUUAUUUAGAGUCUGCAUGAAUCAGAGUUUGCAUGAAUCAGAAUCAGAAUAAUCUUUAUUUGCAUCAGCCACCAGCUGUAGCAAUAACAUAAAAUGUACUGAAGUGAGAGGUAAAAACUUAACUUUAGAAAAUACAUUUGGGGGGUUUAUAUCAGUAAUCAAAUAAUAGAUCUUAUUCUAAUUGCCCUUGCUAAAAAACCUUGCAGCUUUUGCUGUCACCUGAUCAUCUUGAUCUGCUAAAACACAGUAGCAAUGGUUGAGCAACCCCCGGCAUGGACAAUAAUAGAGGGGUAAUAAUCUCCUCAAAUCUUUAUAAAGAGGGCAAGCCAGAAGGACGCGAGCCACUGACUCAAUACUGCCAUCUCCGCAGGGACAUAACCAUUUUUCCAGUGGAAUUUUUUAAAAUCGACCCUCAAGUACAGCUGAAGGCAGUAUAUUCAAUCUUGCGAAAGCGAAAGCACGCCUGUAUUUUGGAAUUCUAUAAUUUUGUGAAUAGGGUGCCUGAGUGUCAAAAUGACUAGGUGGAAAAUAAUCGUACCAUGGACAAAAUGUCCUUAUUGUGGCCAGAUUAUUCUGUUGCUUGGUGUCAUAUAGGCGCUGUCCAAUUAAAUGAUUUGAUUUACUGAAGCCCAGUGUUAAUAACUGUUGUGGUAAACCAGAAAAAUAGAGCUUUUGGCUGACCAUUUUAGGCCAAGUGCUCUCAUGACAAUCUUGUGAUAAUAAGGGUAGUAGGCCAGUGGACUUGCACAAGUUGCAUGCUUUCCUAGUGCUUUAAAUAGGAAAGUGUUCCACUCCACAAUUUGCUUUUAUCCUGCCUACAAUCUGAAGUCCGCCGGCCAGAAUUCCCUCUGCCCAAGUAGUAGGGCAUCUCUGCAUGUAGCAGUCUUCUUCUCCCGAGUUCUGUGGGGGGCGGGUUAAAGUUCCACAAGUAAUUCUGCAAUUUUAGAGCAGAGACUCCCGACUUUUUGGGGACUGAGCACACAUUUGUGAAUACGAGAAACGGUUGCGGACCUCCCCACCCACCCACUGUAACUAAGCACAAUUUGCCACCUAUUCAAUUGUUGACUACAGCGGGAUGCUUCUGUUGGGUCUAAUUUCAGCAGUGGGAGGCAACCCUAUGGGCCACCAGGGAAGGCCCCUGCAGGCAUAUCUGUGCUCCACGUUGACAACCCUUGCUCUAGUGUCAGUAAUUGGAUUGAUGAGGAAGAGUGGUGGGAACAGCCCAACCAAGAGCCCCUCAGGGAGGGCACAGAAGAUGAUGACUUGGAUGAUGGUGGUGCGAUACUGAAGAAAAGUCUGGGGAAGGGAGAAUCUAGGAGGUGCUAGAAGCAGAGUGUGCUGGUCCCGUGGGUUACCCGAGAGGCGAGGUCCAAGUCCGGUCCGUGGUCAAAGGUGCAACGAGGAGGCAGUCUGUAGUAGCUGAAGCUGGGUUCAGGGCAGGGAGCCUGGUGAAGUCAGGAACAGGCUUGCAAGCAGGGAGCCAGGGCGGAUCAGGAGCUCAGGAAGGAACUAGCAACCAACAAUGUUGCUCCUGCAACUUGGGACUGGCCGGCUCUUAUCUGCCCUGAGGCAUAGGGCAGCCCUGAUCCUCUGGAGACUCACCUCUCCUGGCCUGGAGGUGAGCACUCCUCCUGCGGGAACUUGGCUCCCUCCGCCUCUCUGCCCUGAGCCUCUGCAGCUCAGGAGAGGCUGGAGGGUUACCGGACCCAGAGGCAACCUCACUUCGCCACUCCUCCACAUGCAGCUGCUGGGUGACCUUGGGCCAGUCACACUUCUCUGAAGUCUCUCAACCCCACUCACCUCACAGAGUGUUUGUUGUGGGGGAGGAAGGGAAAGGAGAUUGUUAGCCGCUUUGAGACUCCUUAGGGUAGUGAUAAAGCGGGAUAUCAAAUCCAAACUCCUCUACUACUUCUUCUUCUUCUUCUUCUUCUUCUUCUUCUUCUUCUUCUUCUUCUUCUUUUUCAGGACGAUUUGGGGAGCCAGGCUGGUGAGGGGUGUUGCCUGGGGAGGAAGAAUGGGCUGGGAGAGUUCUGAGGGCCUCACAGAAGUGCGUAGAGGGCCACAUUGAAACCUCUUUAGCAUCUGAAUUAGAGGAAUACAUAGGAACUUUAUUGUCGGCCAGAGCAACACCGCAUUAGUUUCUUUACAGGCAUUGUCUUGAAAGGUUUGCAGCGUGAAACAUAAAAAAGAGACGACAGGUGCCGAGCCAGUACGAGAGAGGGGGGGAGCUCAAGGAAGCAAUGGAUAGAAACAGAGUGACAGGCAGAGACCUUGAGGCAUCAGCUGCCCUUUCCCUUUGAGUGUUCGGAAGUGUUUGUGCAGAAACCUUACUCACAUUUUAAUGACCCUCUUUUGUUUCAUUUUAUUUUUUUUGUUUGGAACUAACCAGUGCAAUUUUUCAAGAACGCCUAGCCUUGUUCUCUUAUAAUGGCAAUGGCGCCCACCUGAGAGGUGCCAGAACUGAGUUCCGGCAAGUCCAAGCUCGAAAAAGCCUCUGCAGUCCUGUUAUUAGGGAAAGUAGUGGGCACGACUUAGCAUGACAAGUGGUUCAGAUUCUUGGGCAAGACCUCAGUGAUGGAGGAGGUAUUACUGUCUCCUCAGUGGCGGACAGGACAGGGGAGUAGUAAAAGGUAAAGGUAAAGGACCCCUGGAUGACUAAGUCCAGUCAAAGGCGACUGUGGGGUGCGGCACUCAUCUCGCUUUCAGGCCAAGGGAGCCAGCGUUUGUCCACAGACAGCUUUCCGGGUCCCAGUACAUUUCCAAGCACAAUUCAAAGUGUUGGUGCUGACCUUUAAAGCCCUAAAUGGCCUCAGCCCAGUAUAGCUGAAGGAGCGUCUCUACCCCCAUUGUUCUGUUGAAUGGUUUAAUAUGUAAAGGUUCAUCAUUGUUCCACUCGAUGUGUAUGUCUUUAAGGGGCCAGAGAAAGGGCCAGAGCAAAAUAACGAGACCCAGCUUUACAGCUGUGAAACAUAGCAGGUGCUGCUGAGUUGUAUUGAUUAAGCUGUGUUGGUAAUUGGGUGUAGUAUAUAAGGAGCAGCACCUAGCUCUCCCAUUACCCUGGGGGAUGGGUUGGUGGUUGGGUCAUGUUUGUUUGUUAAUGUAUUUAGUGUAAAAGGAGUUUUUGUUUUUCUUAUUAAAACCUUGUUUAAGUUAUUUUUGAGUCCCUUUUAAUGCAUGGUCUCCCCAGCAAGCUCUCUGCAGCGCUACCAUACUGCAAAAAGCCAACAUCUUUGGUUAUGGGCCCAGCUGCUGAGUGGAUGACUGCAUAUUUUUGGACUCUGAGAAAGGUUUGAAAACUCCUUCUCCUGUUAGCGUAGUUCUGUGGGUCUGGAAGAGUUCCAGAAUGGUUGACCGGGUUCCUGAAGCUGAGAAGGCUCUGGUCUUCCCACAGCUGACAGAUGAGAACUAUAGUUUAUGGUCUUUUCGGGUGGAGGCGCUUUUGACCUCUAGAGAAGUAUGGACCUAUGUAACUGAUGACCCUCCUGACCCUGUGACUAAUGCUUGGUCGAAAGGAGAUGCGAAAGCCAGGGCGAUAAUUAAUUUGGCAGUCAGCGACCAGCAAGUAGUCUAUAUAAGAAAUAAGAAAACUGCCAAAGAAAUGUGGGACAGUCUUGCAGCAGUGCAUGUUAGAAAAGAGUCAGCGUCUGCAUUGACGUUUUCAAGCAGUUGUACCAGACGAAGUUGCAGCCUGGUGGUGAUUUGGCAGCACACUUGAGACGUCUGGAGGCAAUACGCGGCGAAUUAAUUCGAAGGGACAUGGAGAUACCUGAUAUUCAGUAUGUUUUCAUCAUCCUUUGUUCCCUUAAUGAGGACUUUGAUGGUAUAGCUAGCCAGAUAUCUGCCGUUCCACCAGCACAAUUAACUGUGGAAGGGGUAACGGCAAGAUUAAUGGGCGAGUUGGACAGAAGGGAGGCUUGUGCCAUAAGCACUCCUAUUUCCAGAAAGAAUGAGGAACGCCAUAUGCAAACUUGUGGUGAUACAACUGCAUUUAAAGCUGCAAAGCGUUGUUGGUUCUGCAAUAAGCAAGGACAUUUUGCAAAGGACUGCAGAUCCAAAAGAAAGCAAAGUACUCCCAAGUCUGUUUCUGUUCGUCAGUCACGGUCGUCAGCUCAGCAGCCGGCAUCGUACCGUAAAGACAGAAACGAGCCGCGAGCUUUUCACGCUAGCACAAGAGAUCGUAAAAGAAUUAAAGGUGCCAAGUGGAAUUCUUUUAUUGUGGACUCAGGAGCAUCUCAGCACGUUUGCAACGAUCGAAGCUUGUUUAUUUCUUUCGAAGAGGAAAUUGGUAAUGUACAUUUAGCCAAUUCACAAGUCUUGCAGUCGCUUGGCAGGGGUACUGUUAAACUUGACUCUUUAAACAUUACUAUAGCGAACUGCAUUUACUGCCCAUCAGUGGACAAUUUAUUGUCAGUAAGGUGUUUUGCUCGUCAAGGCAUAACUGUGCGUUUCUUAAAGUCAAUGUGUGAGUUUUUCGAGGGGAACAAACGUCUAUUGUAUGCCCGGGAAUCUGAUGGUUUAUAUAGACUGUAUUUUCGCACCUACUCCCAAUCGCCUAUAAAUUGCAGAGCAGCACAGUCAAGCCAGGGGUUGAGGAAUGUAAGGCCACAUUCUGGGUGUGUCCAUGAGGCGCACAGAAUUCUGGGACAUCUGAAUUUUGCUGAUGUAAUUAAGACCAAGAAUAUUGUUAAUGGCCUCAACUUAAAACCAUGUAAAUUCUUUAUGCAAUGUCUAUCCUGUUGCAAGAAUAAGAUUAAGGUUGCACGCAAGGGUAGGUGCUCAGAUAGGAAAGUAACUGAGCCAUUUGAGCGUGUACAUUGUGAUUUAGUUGGGCCACUCCCACCAUCCUUAGGAGGUUCUAAGUACUGGCUUACCCUGAUAGACCAGUAUAGUAGAUAUUGUUGGACUUAUGCAAUAGCUGAGAAGUCCCAAGCAUUUGAGAAGUACAAAGUUUUUGCAACUGGGUAAAAACACAUUUUAACAAACCUAUUAAGAACCUUUUUCUGACAGGGGCGGGAAUUUGUUUCUGAGGAUUUUGAGAAAUUCCUGGAAGCGCAGGGGACUACUCAUGAGUUAUCUUGCCCCGAAGUCCCUGGCAAAAUGGGCUUGUUGAAGUUGUGCAGCGUGACCUGCAGGCAGGGGUUAAAACUUAUCUGCAUGAUGCUAAUCUGCCCAAAGACUUUUGGGCUGAAGCGCUCAAUGCCUUUUGUUAUGUUAGAAAUCGCAGUUAUCAUUCUGGUUUAGAUGUCACCCCUAUGAGAAGCUGUUUAAAAACGCCCUAAUCUGAAAUACCUACGCAUUUGGGGUUCAGAUGUAAUAAUGCAUUAUCCCGCUAAGCAGAAAUUGGGUGAACGUAGUGUCCAGGGAAAAUUAAUGGGCUACCAGCAGGGGGCGUACAGAAUUUACAUACCAGCAACUGGCAAAUUUCAUAUUACCAGAAGCAUGAUACAAACUGUAAAUUGGAAUGGUGUUGCUGUUUUCCAAGAUAGUAAUGGUAUAGAUAAUACUGAGGAAGAAGAGGUAGAAGAAGCAGCAGCAGCAGCAGGAAAUGGUGCUUCUGAAUUAAUGGAAGAAGACAAAAAGCCUGUUGAAUCUGAUAAUUUCUUUGAUGAUUUAAAGUCACAGGCACCCGAGGGGAGGUUAGAUUCUCUUGAGUUUUCUGACCGUGAGCUUAGCCAACAGGCAUCUCUUCAGUCUGACAAUGAUGAUUUACAACCUGAAACUAGUAGUUUACAUAGUCCCAUUAAGUCUGAGGAGUCUGACUCUCCUUCCGGACUGAGACGUUCAGAUAGAAAGAGACAGAAGCCACAACGUUUUGCAGAUGAACAUUUUAAUACUGUGUAUGCCAAUAAGGCAGUUUUUGAGCCAAAAAGCUACAAUGAUGUUCAGAAUUUACCUAAGCACCAAGCUGUAAAUUGGUAUAAAGCUAUGAACUCUGAAAUAGCUUCUUUAAAAGAGCAUAACACUUGGUCUCUUGUACCACAAACCCCAGAUAUGAGACUUAUUGAUUCAAAAUGGGUUUAUAGAGUUAAAAUGAAUGACAAAAAUGAAGUUGUAAGGUACAAGGCAAGAUUAGUUGCUAGGGGUUUUCAACAAAUUCCAGGCGAAGAUUAUGAUUUGUGUUAUUCACCAAGUGUAAAAUAUGAAACAGUUAAGCUUUUGUUAAAAGAUGCAUCACAACGUGGACAUUCUGUUUAUCACCUAGAUAUAAAAACUGCAUAUUUGUUUGCAGAUUUAAAAGAACAAAUUUUUAUGCGUGUCCCUGAAGGCAUAGACGCCGCUGAAGGUUUGGUAUGCAAAUUAAAUAAAUCCCUUUAUGGUCUGCACCAAAGUGGAAGGAAUUGGCAUCAAACUUUAGCAAAAGAAUUGCUGGAUAUUGGUUUUUCACAGGGAAAGGCAGACAAUUGUGUGUUUAUAAAGGAAAGGGCAAACUCUGUAGCAAAAAUAUGUGUCUAUGUAGAUGACGUGUUAAUUUCUACAAAAACUAAACAGGAAUAUGAACAGGUAGUAACACAGUUACAGAAGAAAUUUGAUGUGGUGGAAUUAGGCAUAGCUAAAAAUUACUUAUCCAUGCAAAUUGAGAAAGGCAAAAAUGGAUCUUUUCUGGUUCAUCAAACUGCAAAAAUUGACGAUCUUGUUGAAAUGCUAUGUUUAGAAAAUGCAAAUGGGAAGGAAACGCCCAUGGUGUGUGGUUUCACUUUUACAGGUGAAGAUAAGCCAUUUCCUAACAAAACUUUGUAUCGUUCUGCUAUAGGCAAGCUAAAUUUCAUUCAAAGAAUCUCAAGACCAGAUAUAACUUAUGCCUUUCACUUUCUGGCAAAAUUUGUGGAAAAGCCCACUACACAAUGUUUCUCUGCUCUUAAGAGAGUGGUAAUGUACCUUAAACAUACCAAACAUUAUAGGUUGCAGUUUACAACAUGUAUUGACAAAGGUUUUGAAAUUUUCUGUGAUGCAUCUCAUGCAGUGGAACAAAAUAAUUGCAGGGGUGUGUCUGGUAUGGUGUUUUGUUAUAAUGGUUGUCCAUUUGAAUGGAAGUCCCAGACACAAACCAUUAUUUGUCUCUCCACAACAGAGAGUGAAUUAUGUGCAUGUGUUCAGGCCACUCGUGAUGUGGAAUGGUAUCUGCAAGUAUUCGCAGACCUACAGAUGCAAGUAACACUACCAGUAAAAGUUUACCUUGAUUCCCAGAGUGGACUCGCUAUCCUAUGUUCAGAAACCAAUACGCAGCGCACUAAAGUCUUAAGAUUACGUUUACAGUUUGUAAAGAAACUAAUUGCUGAUGAAAUGGUUGUAUUUAAAUAUGUUCCAGGUGACAAUCAAAUUGCAGACAUUUUUACUAAAGCACUUCCAAAAGGUAUACAUGAAAAACAUGUACAAAGUAUGCUUUAUGUUUUUGUUCCACAAUGAUGAACCGCAGGGGAAAUGUUGAAUGGUUUAAUAUGUAAAGGUUCAUCAUUGUUCCACUCGAUGUGUAUGUCUUUAAGGGGCCAGAGAAAGGGCCAGAGCAAAAUAACGAGACCCAGCUUUACAGCUGUGAAACAUAGCAGGUGCUGCUGAGUUGUAUUGAUUAAGCUGUGUUGGUAAUUGGGUGUAGUAUAUAAGGAGCAGCACCUAGCUCUCCCAUUACCCUGGGGGAUGGGUUGGUGGUUGGGUCAUGUUUGUUUGUUAAUGUAUUUAGUGUAAAAGGAGUUUUUGUUUUUCUUAUUAAAACCUUGUUUAAAUUAUUUUUGAGUCCCUUUUUAAUGCAUGGUCUCCCCAGCAAGCUCUCUGCAGCGCUACCAUACUGCAAAAAGUCAACAUGUUCAGCCCAGACACUGAGGUCCAGCUCCGAGGGCCUUCUGGCGGUUCCCUCACUGCAAGAUGUGAAGUUACAGGAACCAGGCAGAGGGCCUUCUCAGUAGUGGCACCCGCCCUGUGGAACGCCCUCCCACCAGAUGUCAAAGAGAAAAACAACUACCAGACUUUUAGAAGACAUCUGAAGGCAGCCAUGUUUAGGGAAGCUUUUAAUGUUUAAUAGACUAUUGUAUUUUAAUAUUUUGUUUGAAGCUGCCCAGAGUGGCUGGGGAAACCCAACCAGAUGGGCGGGGUAUAAAUAAAUUAUUAUUGUUAUUAUUAUUAUUAUUUGGCCAGUAUGACUAAACCGCUUCUGGUGCAAUGGAACCCCGUGUUGGAAACCAGAGCGCACAGAAACUCUGUUUACCUUCCCGUCACAGUGGUACCUAUUUAUCUACUUGCACUGGCAUGCUUUUGAACUGCUAGGUUGGCAGGAGCUGGCACAGAGCAACGGGAGCUCACUCCAUUGCGGGGAUUCGAACUGCCGACCUUCAGAUUGGCAAGCCCAAGAGGCUCAGUGGUUUAGACCACAGUGCCACCCGCAUCCCUCUCCCAUCGCUUGGUGAAGUGGGACUGUACAUAGUUUCUGAUGUGGCAAAGUAGAUGAGCUAGAACCUACCUCUGGAGGUGGAGCUCAUGCUGUGUUGGCUGGUGGGUAGAUGGGACUAGACAUAGGAAACUCCUCCCACUAGGAUCUUUCCUUGGAUUCUCUUCCUCCAGCUCUCCUGACCUGGGCAGAGACCUUCCUAGCCCACUCUCUCCCUCCCUGGUGUCUUCUGUAGGUCACCUGGCCUGGCCAGACCCCCACCACUCAGGGCCUAUGACACAUCUGGAGGUCCACAGGUGUCGCACACCUGGACUUCAAGAACUCAUGUGACCUUAGGACAGUGGUUCUCAACCUUGGGUCCCCAGAUGUUUUUGACCUACAACUCCCAUGAUCCCUAGCUCACAGGACCAGUGGUCAGGGAUGAUGGGAGUUGUAGGCCGAAAACAUCUGGGGACCCAAGGCUGAGAAAGGUUGCCUUAGGGCAUCUGUUACUAAGCAAGUGUUGGCUUUUACCCCAAGGAAGGGAAGAUCUCUAAAUUACAACUAGCAUCACACCAUUAUGAGCAAGACACGAUAUAUUUUAGAGUGCUUAAAAUGUGACUGAUCCAUGUUAAGUAAUCUUGAGUAUGUUUCCUUUGUGGAUGUUAUUGGGAGCCUCCCAGAAUGGGCUGGGGCAACCCAAUCAGGUGGUCAUUACAUAAAUAAUAAAAGGGUGAUGAUGAUUUUCUCCUCCUAUUUUUUUUUAAAUAUAGCUCUCCUGUUCAAAUGAGUUUGCUCAACGUAAUCUGUUGUGCUUAUCGCCAACAUUGGUGAUAUUUUAAACUCUGCAAAUACGUUAAUUACAUUACUUGAGUAAUGUAACUGUGUGUAUAAACUGUAUGCAUAAAUAUUAUAUUAAGCAGCUAAUAUUGUCUGUUCCUAGAUCCAUGCCUGCUGUGCUGGUUAGAAGCAAAGCAGCUUGCUUUCCAGUUUGCCUAGGGAUUUUACUUUAUCGAGUUACUGGUUUAAAAUCAACAAAUUAGAACACAGUACACAGUAUCCUUUUGCUUUAUUCCACAGUCUUGAAUUUAAUUAGCCCUUAUCAUUGAAUAUUGUUGUUGCUAAAUCCUUAUGUAAGCAGAGACUAUAGGAUAUAGAUAUGCAGCAAGAUUUGCCUCGUGUUGUGGCAUCGAAAUCGUCUGCUUUUCUUGCCAGCAUGUCAAUAUGGUUCAAGGGGAUUUGACAGAGCUUUGAGAUGCUAGCAAGAGGAAAGCUUUAACAUCUUUAUGGCUUGAGAUUGUGGAGACAGAAAUGCUUCCAACAUGAUUAACAAGGAGAUUGAAUAAUAGUUUAAAGAUUUCGUAGCUGCAGAAAAAGUGUGAUAGAUGACUCUCAUCACUGUGUUGGAUUUAUGGCAAAGUUUAGAAAGAGUUAUUAAAGGGUUUUAAUAGCUUGACUGCAGCUGGUCAACUAAAUCAGGGUUUUCAUUAAUGUCCUGAAUAUAAGUAAUUUAGCAGUUCCUCUUCCUAAGGAGUGUGUUCUGCUCAUGCUGCUGUUAUAGCCUUGGCUAAAUUCUAUAUCAGGAAUAAAAUAACAUUUUAAUGUGUUAUUUGUAUUGCUUUUAAAUGCUAUAUCUUUUAUGGGUUUCUAUUGUUUGGUGGUGGAGAAUUAUUUUUGUAAUGACUUUCCCUGCUGAACAAAUGAACUUAAAGACACAUUUUAAGCCGCUUAUGUGUUUUUUCUCUGAGAAAUUAUAUGCUCCAGCAGUCUCCACAAUUUGUGCAAUUGGUUUUUUAUGCAUCUGACUAUACUUCCAUGUUGCAAUUUGCCAAGCGCUAUGGCAUAAACACACACACACACACCCACACACACACACACACACAGUGGUACCUCGAGUUACAAAUGCCUCAGGUUACAAACGCUUCAGGUUACAAACUCCGCUAACCUGAAAGAGUUACCUUGAGUUGAGAACUUUGCCCCAGGAUGGGAACGGAAAUUGUGUGCCGGCGGUGCAGCAGCAGCAAGAGGCCCCAUUAGCAAAAGCACGCCUCUAGUUAAGAACAGUUUCAGGUUAAGAACGGACCUCCGGAACGAAUUAAGUUUGUAACUAGAGGUACCACUCUGUGUGUAUGUGUGUAUGUGUGUAUGUGUGUGUGUGUGUGUGUGUGUAUCUAUAUCUAUAUCUAUAUCUAUAUCUAAUCUAUAUCUGAUGUCUGUUGUGAGCUACUCUGGGCACAAUCAAAAAUUGAAAAGGGGCAUAUAAAUUCAGCUAGCUCUUAGACAGCAGGGGAGACUUUCAAACUAUAGGUAAACUAUUGCAUUUAGCAAAAAUUACCCUUACUAAAGGGACGCGGGUGGUGCUGUGGGUUAAACCACAGAGCCUAGGACUUGCCGAUCAGAAGGUCGGCGGUUUGAAUCCCCGUGACGGGGUGAGCUCCCGUCGCUCGGUCCCUGCUCCUGCCAACCUAGCAGUUCAAAAGCACGUCAAAGUGCAAGUAGAUAAAUAGGUACCACUCCAGCGGGAAGGUAAACGGCUUUUCCUUUGACUGCUCUGGUUCGCCAGAAGCAGCUUAGUCAUGCUGGCCACAUGACCCGGAAGCUGUACGCCAGGUCCUUCAGCCAAAAAAGCGAGAUGAGCACUGCAACCCCAGAGUCAGUCACGACUGGACCCAAUGGUCAGGGGUCCCUUUACCUUUACCUUUACCUUUACCUUUACCCUUACUAAGGCUAACAGAGCUGUUGAUUUUGCACUUUCUGUUUUUGGAAGUUGCUCAUUAUGGUUGUUUCUUAUGGAACGGAAGAGAAAAGCAAGAUUGAGGCAAACUUUCAUAGCUGCCUGGAUUUUCCGAUAUCACCCAGCCCCCCCCCCAGCCCCCCCCAAAAGCCCUGGGGACCAGAACUGGCUUGUAGGCCAGUGGUUCAGCACCCUCUUAAAUAAGCUGUAAAAAAGAAGUAACUACUCAGAAUCUCAUCUUUGCCACAUCUUGAUUCUUAUACCUCCAGAUUUGACAUGAACUCACUUGAGUGAAGAAACUGGAAGAUAAUCAUCCGAGGCAUGACUUUGCAACUGAAAAAGAGAUCUGAAACCGCCUCCUUUGCCAAAUACAAAUUUGACAAAAUGAAGCAUACAUCCAGAUUUUUUGGUUUGGGGCGCUGCUAACUUGUCUGCCAGUGUGAAUGAAGGGAGGCUGAAAAAACCAGCA